rnacentral:misc_RNA from 1 species
CUUCCAUUAAAGAUGUUAUUUUUCUUAUAAUUCUACUCACUUUUUUAUUGCCUUCCCUUUCUACAAAAUAAGCCUUUAAGGUUUUCAAUCUUGACACACUGUGUGAAUCCAACCUCGAAUAAACAGCAGAUUUUAUCAUUGACCAUGUUUAAUUUUACAUAACAAUCGUAGAAUGCUAUAAAUAAGGUGUUCUCUUACAUUUUUUUUUUUAACACAAUCAUACAUAUCUAAUUUUUCCAAUCAUACUCCAUACACUCCCACUCAGACCAAGAACAAAACAAUUAACGUGUACAGUAAGAAUGGUCUCAUCUAUAUACGAUCUAUCUUCUUGCUGCUAUACUAAGUCUCAAAUUGCUUGCCUUCAAAAGUGUGCCCAAAGCUCCAAUCCUUGGGAGCGACAUUGUAAGAGGUAAUUGUGAUUCCAUCACUACUAGUAACCUCAAAUGAGAGAGGUUGAUUCUUUAAAUCAGCAUUGAUAUGCCAGUUCUGGCCCCAGUUUCUACCCAUUUGAAGCCAACCUGUUCUUGAACCUUUAAUCUUCACCGCAGUUACAUCACCUGCACCUGCAACAUUGCCGAUCAUCACUGAAAUGAAGAUACCAGCUCCAGAGACAGUAAAGCGAAUUCCUCCUUCCUUUCUGCAUUUGAUUCUCCGGUACUGUACAGGCAUGUUACCGGCCUUCCAGAUGGCUAUCUUCUCAUAGGACUCGAUGGGAAGGACGAAGUGUUUGUUUGGUGGGUUACAGUGGCCUCCACCAUCAGCAGUGAACCCAUAAUUGGGAGCACAAAAAUUAGUAACCGUCACAAUGACAGAAGUGCCAGGGAUGCACCACCGCAGGUCUUCCACACACCGCAACUCAAAGCAUGCACCACAGAUCUGGCCCCGCUCAAACAAAGCCUCGCUGAGCCCCACCGUGGCCAUCCCAUACCCUGCUUUCCCUAAAUCUCCAUAACCACAGGCACCACCAACAGAGUCGCGAGGGUCGGAGGCAGCAUAGUAUGUGGCAUGUGCAGAAUGCCAAUCAGAGAGGGAGGAGGAAAGUGGUGGAGAAGAGGAGGAGGAGGUGUGGGAAGUGGCAGGUAAUGAAAAUGUGAAGAAGAAGAAAGGUAGCAAGAGAGAGUGAAUGGGGUUUAGAGGAGGUGGCAGUGACAUUUUUUUCUUUUGAAAGGGGUUAACCACGAAAUUUAAACUGCCCUCAUAUCUUUACUACCAUCUGCAUACUACCUGAAUCCUCCAAUUUUUUUUUUUUAAUUAAUUUUUCAGUAAAUAUUUAUUGAGAAUAUUGUAUAUGGGGUCGGAUAUCUGAAACCUAAUCCAGAACAAUCUUUAAAAAAAUCUGUUAAAGCCAAUAAAUUUUUUCUUACGAAAAAACUAUUAAAUUCAAGAAAAUUCAAAAAAUCCAGCAGCACACCUCAAAAACUUCACACCAUUGCUAUCAAUUGAUGACAUCUUGAACCAACCUAAACACAAGUUAAAAUUGAUCAAUUAUCAAUCAAGAAAGAAAUUUAAGAUCAAAUGUACACAGCAACAACAGCAAGGAAUCCUCCAGUGUAAUUCAAAAAGAAGGAGUAUAUACACAAAUUUGGUUCUUCUCCCAUAACUUCAUUAUUAUUAUUGCUGUUUUUCUUGUUUCUUUGAUGUAGUACAGCAAUAGUCAUUUGUAAACAAGAACUUCUUACCUUUAAAACUUAAUUAAUAACAGAGAGAGACCAAUGUGCAAAUGCUAAAUAUUUUGACUUGCAAUUCUAAGUAGAUGCAGGAAACAUUACUCAUUUCACAUGCAGAGGAUAUUCAAACUCAUGAUACAACAAGGGAUAUAAACUAAUAGGAAUUUAGAAGUCUUGGACAUUUAGAAAGUUUAAAAAUUUUAAAACUAUCAGAAAUUCAGAAAUACAGCAAGGAGAUAUAUUCAAACUCAUGCCAUAGUAACCUUCUCAAGUAACAAAUUACUAGAGAUUUACAGAAUCACACCCCAGAAAUAUAAAUAAAAAAAAGCCAAGAAAUCAUAGAAACACCAUAAAUAAAAUGCAAACUAGGAAGAACAAACAUAAAGAAGUUUAUCUCUAUUGCAAUAAAUUCAACAGCAACUAGCAAAUCAGAAAGAUGAAUCAGCACGCUAAAUUUAGAGUUAGUUUUCACACAAUACGAAAAUCACCAACUGCCCUAAUUUUUUUCAUGAGUCAUAAAUGAUUGUAAAAUAUGGAAAUUAACAUUUGAAAUACCUAUAAAAUUCCUGAGAAAUUUGGAAAAUCCGAAAAUUUCAUUAGAUCACCAAAAAUUUAAAAUUACAAAGUUCUGAUAAUUCGGGAUGCUUAAGAUCAGUGGAAUGUGUAAUUAUUUUUGUUUUAAGAAUAAAAAAGACACAUCAAACUUAAGAUCAGUGGAAUAUCACUAAUGUAAAUAAAUAUUAAAUAAAAGAAUAAUAAACAGACAGAAAUCUUUAACCCAUCCCAAAAGAGUAACAGAAAAGGAGGAUAUGAAUGUACUGCUCAUGGGCAGUAUGCUAUUCUCAGUACAGUAGUUCUGAGACCUUAUUUUUCAUUUUCCUAGAGCAAUGGAUGUAAAGACAAAGGGACAUUAGUUCCUCUAGAACAAUAAAUGAAAUUUCCAGGUUCUUCCAGAGCAGCAAUAACCAAAGAUCUAAACAAAGUUACUAAAGCAAGUAUCUGGUAAUUGUAAUAGCAUUUUACAUAGCUAGCACACAAACAAUUGGCAUUUUAACAGCAAAAGAAACUAUGCAAAAGUCCUAAAUCCAUGAGCAUUAACCAAUCAGCUUCAAAACAACACUCAGUUGAAAGCUUUUAGAUUUGAAUGAAGUUGGUGUACAGACCCAAACAUGCAGAUAUUUGAAUUGAAAUGAGGAGAUGAAACUCUCAAGCAUGAAAUUUCCAGGUUCAGAAACAGCAUAAAAAGAAAAUUCUUCUCUAGCUUAAUAAUUUUGGAAAUGGGAUGGUUUUGAAAAAGAAACAACUAGUUUCUAAGAGAUCAAAACUAAUAAUAAUGGGAUCUUGCUAUUUUAACUUCGGAAUCCAUGAAUAUGAUGGCUGCUCAUAAAUGACAAGCAUUUAAGAGUAGAAAAUUGAAGAAGAAGCUUUUAAA